UACGGGAGGCAGCAGUGGGGAAUAUUGCACAAUGGGCGAAAGCCUGAUGCAGCAACGCCGCGUGAGCGAUGAAGGCCUUUGGGUCGUAAAGCUCUGUCCUUGGGGAAGAAAAAAAUGACGGUACCCUUGGAGGAAGCCCCGGCUAACUACGCGCCAGCAGCCGCGGUAAUACGUAGGGGGCAAGCGUUAUCCGGAAUUAUUGGGCGUAAAGAGUGCGUAGGUGGUUUUGUAAGCGCGGGGUGAAAGGCUAUGGCUCAACCAUAGUAAGCCUUGCGAACUGUGAGACUUGAGUGCAGGAGAGGAAAGCGGAAUUCCUAGAGUAGCGGUGAAAUGCGUAGAUAUUAGGAGGAACACCAGUGGCGAAGGCGGCUUUCUGGACUGUAACUGACACUGAGGCACGAAAGCGUGGGGAGCAAACAGGAUUAGAUACCUUGGUAGUCCACGCCGUAAACGAUGAGCACUAGGUGUCGGGGCCGCAAGGUUUCGGUGCCGCAGUUAACGCAUUAAGUGCUCCGCCUGGGGAGUACGCACGCAAGUGUGAAACUCAAAUGAAUUGACGG
rnacentral:rRNA from 1 species